rnacentral:rRNA from 1 species
UACGUAGGGUGCGAGCAUUAAUCGGAUUUAUUGGGCGUAAAGGGCGCGUAGGCGGCUCAACAAGUCACUUGUGAAAUCUCCGGGCUUAACCCGGAGCGGCCAAGUGAUACUGUCGUGCUAGAGUGCGGAAGGGGCUACUGGAAUUCUCGGUGUAGCGGUGAAAUGCGUAGAUAUCGAGAGGAACACCUGCGGCGAAGGCGGGUAGCUGGGCCGACACUGACGCUGAGGCGCGAAAGCCAGGGGAGCGAACGGG